rnacentral:lncRNA from 1 species
UUUACAAAAACUAAAAGGUUAGCAGUCAUGGUGGUGCGCAUCUGUAGUCCUAGCUAUACUGAGGAGGCUCAGGUGGGAGGAUCGCUUGAGCCCAGGAGGUCAAGGCUGCAGUGACCUGUGAUUGUGCCACUGCAUUCAGCCUGGGCAAUGGUAAAACCCUGUCAAAAAAUGCAAUUUUUGUUUUCAAAAACGAUAAACAAAGACUAGAGAAUUUAAUUUAUCCAUGGGUUUCAGGUUUGAGUAUAUAUAUUUUUUUAUUUUUGAGACGGAGUCUUGCUCUGUCGCCCAGGCUGGAGUGCAGUGGCACAAUCUCGGCUCCCUGCAACCUCCGCCUUCCGGGUUCAAGCGAUUCUCCUGCCUCAGCCUCCCGAGUAGCUGGGACUACAGGCACCCACCACCACGGUGGGCUGAUUUUUGUAUUUUUAGUAGAGACAGGGUUUCACCAUGUUGUCCAAGCUGGUCUUGUACUCCUGACCUCAGGUGAUCCGCCCGCCUGGGCCUCCCAAAGUGCUGGGAUUUACAGGCGUGAGCCACCGCGCCCGGCCCAGGUUUGAGUAUUUCUUAAUCAAUGAUCUCCAAAUGUUUCCCAGUCCAAUGCGUUAAAUAUGAACGCUUAGGCAAGAUUGCUCCGGAAGGCCCGGGAAAUACUUGACCGGCUUAUGCCCCUCCCACCCCUACUUUUGAGGAAGGUGCCCGGAAUGGGACAUGGAUAGGGUCCCGGAAUUGGCCUUCUCCGGAAUCGGAAUCUGAGCGAGGACUCCGGGAUCCCCAGCCUGAGGACCUCCGGCGUUUCCACUCCCUGGCUCCCCGUCCCACCUGUUGCCUUUGCUAUGCCUACCCUGGUUCUUUUUCGUGCUAUGGAGACAGCGUGGGCAACUCCAGCGCAAGAAGGUGCAGCUGUUGUGGAGAUCUGCUGACCAAUGUCAAGUUCA